rnacentral:rRNA from 1 species
UACGUAGGGUGCGAGCGUUGUCCGGCAUUAUUGGGCGUAAAGGGCUCGUAGGCGGAUACUUAAGUAGGAAGUGAAAGGUGGGAGCUCAACUCCCACAUUGCUCCCUAUACUGGGUGUCUUGAGUGGUGGAGAGGGAGAUGGAACGACACGUGUAGCGGUGAAAUGCGUUGAUAUGUGUCGGAACACCAAUGGCGAAAGCAAUCUCCUGGACGCAAACUGACGCUGAGAUACGAAAGCCAAGGUAGCAAACAGG